rnacentral:rRNA from 1 species
GACGUAGGGCGCGAGCGUUGUCCGGAUUUAUUGGGCGUAAAGAGCUCAUAGGCGGCUUGUCGCGUCGACCGUGAAAACUUGGGGCUCAACCCCAAGCCUGCGGUCGAUACGGGCAGGCUCGAGUUCGGUAGGGGAGACUGGAAUUCCUGGUGUAGCGGUGAAAUGCGCAGAUAUCAGGAGGAACACCGAUGGCGAAGGCAGGUCUCUGGGCCGAUACUGACGCUGAGGAGCGAAAGCGUGGGGAGCGAACAGG